GCCUGUUCAUGAGAUCUUGUUAAAAUGCAGAUUCUGGGAGCACCUGGGUGGUGCAGUCAGGUGUCAAGCCUACCCAGGAAGCCAACCAUAAGACUAGGAGCACAAAGGAAUGAAUGUUCAGUGCAGGCAGGCAGAGCUGGAAAAGAGGACCAAGAAGAUGGUACCAAUCCAACAUACUCAGAUUCCUUUCCCAAAUUCAUGCAAUAGUUCUUCUGGAGAGGAGGGAAUGAAGGGUAAGGAGAGCUCCACAGGUGUUGCUCCACAAUGAAUCAUGACACAGACAGAUGCUGGCAUGCUCUUUUUCUACUCCCCUUCAUCCUGUAAACUUUCCAUGUCUACUCUGUGUGAGGUGCAGUGUUUGUGGUUAAUGCAGAGAGAGAUGGACAAGCACAUGGCAGGGUGGACAUGACUUGUGCUGAGAAGCUGAAAUGGAGUCGUUCAUGGAGUUUUUAAGAAAUCACAUCAUUCAUUGCAGCUAAAGGAGAUGAUAUGAACUCUGCCCCCCAUGUUGCCAGAAUCAGAAACUCAUUCACUCUUUUGUCAGUUAUCCGGCUGGCCCUUGGGGGCUUGUGAAUGGCUAAGAGCAAGGGCCCUGAGCAAAGCCGACCUACUUUUGAAUCACUGCUAUAACUACUGAUGAGCUGUUUGGUACUAGGAGCACAGGUCUGCAAACGAACGAUAGAACUCAAACCCGAAUGCAGUUAAUCUGAAGAGUAGUGGAAGCACAGGGGCAAUUGCAUCUCUGUGGCAACCCUUUGAAACCCAGUGACAGCGCAUGGGCAUAAAGCCAAGAGAAGAAAACAUUCUAAAAUACUCCUUCUAAUCCUGAAGUAAGAAACAGAAAACAAGACUAUUCACCCGCAGAAGUCUCCAAACAAAUGAAAUGUGAAAGUGAUUGGAAGCACUUGUCAGGUGGUCUUAAAUAUGGAUGUUCCUCGGUUAUUUCUCUCUGCAUACUGUCUCCCGGCAACCCAUCCAUUCCCAUGACCUUAAUUAUGGGCACAUUAAUUCUCCCUUCUUCACGCUUCUCCAUGGGGCUCUGGGCCAGAACAUGCAUGCCUCCUGGAUAUCUCCCUACAGCUGUCUCACCUGCCCAAAGACCAACUGACCAUCUCAGUACUUCCUCCCUAAUUUAUCAGUUAGCUCAACAGUUCAGACACCUGCCAUUUCCACAGCUGUUCAUCUGCCGUCCUUCCCCCCCAACUCCCCACAACUCUGCACCCACUGCCAGGUUCUGCUCCAUCUCUUACACUGCUUAGACCCUCCAGUUUGCCCCAUACCCACAACACUCUUUCUCAUCUAGCCUACAGCUUGGCACCUUACUGUCCUCCUCCCUCCAGAACAUUCUCAAUAGGCAGCCAGACUGCCUUCCUGAAAUGUAACUCUAAUCAUGUCCCUCCUUUCUUUAACAUUUUUUUUCCCACCAUGGUUCUCCAGGUAAUGACCCCAGUGGUGGCUUCAAGGCCUGAGUGCUCAGACCCUACUAACCCAUCCGGCUUCCUCUCUCAUCAUGCUCCUGCCCCUAUGCUGGGCAUUUAUCAGGACUCUACCUUGCCUCUCAGCCUGAUUAGCUACUGCUCAUCCUUCAGAACUCAGUCUAAAAAAAUCCUUUCCACCAAGGUUCUCCCCCUUCCUCCCCCACACUAGGGUAGGUCUUCCUGUUACAUAUCCCCAUAGCAACACAAACUCCUGCUUUUAUAGCACAGGUUAGGAUGGUCAUUAACCAAAUUGUCAUCUGCAAAAUCUCCUCCCCUGCCCUCGUCCUAAGGCUCUUCGCCCUGGGUCCUUAGCCCUCCACCAUCCUGACCACACUAACCCAGUGCCCUGUCAUCAUCCAAUUGCAUAGUGGUUUCCAUACCACACCACAUGCUUCUUAAAGUGACCAACUUUGUCUUUUACCUGCCACUCCUCAGGAUCUAGGGCAGUGCUAAAUGCUAGUGAUGAAUGCCAGUUGAAUGAAGGGUGAAGAAAUUGCUCUGAAAGCAACUCCUCAGUACAGAAAUCUGAUCCUGACACUUUCCUGAUCAAUGGCUUCCCAUCUCACUCAGAAUAAAAUUCAAGAUCCUUUUCACCACCAGUCAAGUUUUGCAUGAUUUUGCCCUUGUCGACCUAUCUGAUCUCAUGUCCUACACUGUCCUUUUAAUUUCUCUCUUUCCCUCUCUCUCUUUUUUAAAGAUUUUAUUUAUUUAUUCAUGAGAGACACAGAGAGAGGCAGAGACAUAGGCAGAGGGAGAAGCAGGGUCCCUGCG